CCACUAAGCCGAAAGAAGAGUGA
rnacentral:siRNA from 1 species